CUGCCUUUUUUUUUUUUUUUUUUUUUAAGUAAAUAUUAUGACUAAGCAUCCAAAAAUGUCCAAUUUAUCAUCGUUUUUAUUACUGAUAACACACCUUAAUGCGUAUCAGUUAAUCUCCGCGAUACGAGAUAUAAGUCAAGUGCAAUAAUUCAUUUUAAACGCGCGUUGUCAAAAAAUCGAUUUCCUAGUAUCAUCGCUUAUCGGAAGCGAUAAAUAGUGCGCGAAAGUUUGAGUUGGCAUAUUGUUAAAAAUGCCGCCACCGCCUCCGCAUCAUCCGCCCCACGGUCCGCCCCAUCAUUUGGGAGGGCCGCCGCCACCCGGACCGCAUGGAGGACCACCACCCCCGGGACCUCACGGACCACCCCACCACGGUCCGGGGCCGCAUCACGGACCACCCCACCAUCCUCCACCACCAUAAGACGCUCAUAUAGACAUAAUUGUUAAUUUUAAUUAAUUGUAUGAUUAAACUGGAUGUUUUCAUAAAAAAA